GAUGAAGAACGUAGCGAAAUGCGAUAAGUAAUGUGAAUUGCAGAAUUCAGUGAAUCAUCGAAUCUUUGAACGCACAUUGCGCCCGCCAGUAUUCUGGCGGGCAUGCCUGUCUGAGCGUCAUUUCAACCCUCAUGCCCCUAGGGCGUGGUGUUGGGGAUCGGCCAAAGCCCGCGAGGGACGGCCGGCCCCUAAAUCUAGUGGCGGACCCGUCGUGGCCUCCUCUGCGAAGUAGUGAUAUUCCGCAUCGGAGAGCGAUGUGCCCCUGCCGUUAAACCCCCAACUUUCCAAGGUUGACCUCAGAUCAGGUAGGAAUACCCGCUGAACUUAAGCAUAUCAAUAAGCGGAGGA
rnacentral:misc_RNA from 1 species